AUUGAACGCUGGCGGCAUGCUUUACACAUGCAAGUCGAACGGCAGCGCGGGCUUCGGCCUGGCGGCGAGUGGCGAACGGGUGAGUAAUGCAUCGGAACGUGCCCAGUAGUGGGGGAUCGCCCGGCGAAAGCCGGAUUAAUACCGCAUACGACCUGAGGGUGAAAGCGGGGGACCGAAAGGCCUCGCGCUAUUGGAGCGGCCGAUGUCGGAUUAGCUAGUUGGUGGGGUAAAGGCUUACCAAGGCGACGAUCCGUAGCUGGUCUGAGAGGACGACCAGCCACACUGGGACUGAGACACGGCCCAGACUCCUACGGGAGGCAGCAGUGGGGAAUUUUGGACAAUGGGGGCAACCCUGAUCCAGCCAUGCCGCGUGCGAGAAGAAGGCCUUCGGGUUGUAAACCGCUUUUGUUCGGGAAGAAAUCCUCUGGGCUAAUACCCCGGGGGGAUGACGGUACCGGAAGAAUAAGCACCGGCUAACUACGUG
rnacentral:rRNA from 1 species